UAACUCAAAUUGUUGCACCUGC
rnacentral:siRNA from 1 species